GACUGGCCCUGCGCUGUGGGACAGCAGAGAGCUGCGUGGGACCCUGAAGAAGAGCUUGGGCAAGUGGGGCAACUGAGCCCCGGGGUGGGGGCGGCGCUGCAGCCUGCGGGCCCUUUGCACAGAGCAGGUGGAGGCCAGUGUGGUGCCGGCUGCUGUCUGCCCCUGCGUGAGCAGCUGCCCUCCUCUCCACACUGCUCCUCCUGGACCUGCACAGGACCGGCCACAGGGGCUGUGACAAGACGCGCUUGUCCGACAGUGGAAUGCUAUGCAGCUGUGAAAAGGCAGGAGGGGCCGGUGCCGUGGCUCACUAGGCUAAUCCUCUGCCUUGCGGCGCUGGCACACCGGGUUCUAGUCCCGAUCGGGGCCCUGGAUUCUGUCCCGGUUGCUCCUCUACCAGGCCAGCUCUCUGCUGUGGCCCGGGAGUGCAGUGGAGGAUGGCCCAAGAUCCAUCCAACCCCAUGGGAAACCAGGAGAAGCACCUUCGGAUCAGCGUGGCUGCCAUUGGAGGGUGAACCAACGGCAAAGGAAGACCUUUCUCUCUGUCUCUCUCUCUCACUGUCCACUCUGCCUGUAAAAAAAAAAAAAAAAAAAAAAAAGGCAGGAGGUACCAUGCAGACCUUGAACCGGAUGGCCUGUCCACAGCGACAGUGGAAACCAGCGCCAAGGGCCACCCACAAGAGGAUCCAGAUGUGCGAGAAGUAUCCAGACAGACAAGUCUGCAGGCAGGAAGCAGACUCGUGGCUGCCGGCUCUGGGAGAGCUUGGGGGGUCGUGGCUAAAGGUGUGGGGUCGAUUUGAUGAGCAUACUCUGAAAUCAGCCGCUGGGGCUGGUUACAAAACCGCAAAUCCCCCAGGAGCACUGGUUUGUUCACUGUCGUGGCUCCGGGACAGGAAUGUGAAUUCUACCCCCGCAGGGCCAUUGCAGAUCAGAUCUCUGCUCCUCAUCAGCCACUCAGCCCGUGGCUGCCGUGCGGGGCAGUGCUCAGGCCGGGUGCCCUGUCAGCUGGGCGAGGGGUCCCUGGUCUGUUGA
rnacentral:lncRNA from 1 species